GCCGCCUUAGCUCAGUUGGUAGAGCAACCCCUUCGUAAGGGGUAGGUCCUCAGUUCAAAUCUGAGAGGCGGCUCCA
rnacentral:tRNA from 2 species